rnacentral:rRNA from 1 species
GUCGAACGGCAGCACGGACUUCGGUCUGGUGGCGAGUGGCGAACGGGUGAGUAAUGUAUCGGAACGUACCUUUCAGUGGGGGAUAACGUAGCGAAAGUUACGCUAAUACCGCAUAUUCUGUGAGCAGGAAAGCAGGGGAUCGCAAGACCUUGCGCUGAUUGAGCGGCCGAUAUCAGAUUAGCUAGUUGGUGGGGUAAAGGCCUACCAAGGCUACGAUCUGUAGCGGGUCUGAGAGGAUGAUCCGCCACACUGGAACUGAGACACGGUCCAGACUCCUACGGGAGGCAGCAGUGGGGAAUUUUGGACAAUGGGGGCAACCCUGAUCCAGCCAUGCCGCGUGAGUGAAGAAGGCCUUCGGGUUGUAAAGCUCUUUCGGCCGGGAAGAAAUCGCAUCAGCUAAUACCUGGUGUGGAUGACGGUACCGGAAUAAGAAGCACCGGCUAACUACGUGCCAGCAGCCGCGGUAAUACGUAGGGUGCGAGCGUUAAUCGGAAUUACUGGGCGUAAAGCGUGCGCAGGCGGUUGUGUAAGACAGGCGUGAAAUCCCCGGGCUCAACCUGGGAACUGCGCUUGUGACUGCACAGCUAGAGUACGGCAGAGGGGGGUGGAAUUCCACGUGUAGCAGUGAAAUGCGUAGAGAUGUGGAGGAACACCGAUGGCGAAGGCAGCCCCCUGGGCCGAUACUGACGCUCAUGCACGAAAGCGUGGGUAGCAAACAGGAUUAGAUACCCUGGUAGUCCACGCCCUAAACGAUGUCAACUAGGUGUUGGGUGGGUAAAACCAUUUAGUACCGUAGCUAACGCGUGAAGUUGACCGCCUGGGGAGUACGGCCGCAAGGUUAAAACUCAAAGGAAUUGACGGGGACCCGCACAAGCGGUGGAUGAUGUGGAUUAAUUCGAUGCAACGCGAAAAACCUUACCUACCCUUGACAUGUCCAGAAGCCCGGAGAGAUUUGGGUGUGCCCGAAAGGGAACUGGAACACAGGUGCUGCAUGGCUGUCGUCAGCUCGUGUCGUGAGAUGUUGGGUUAAGUCCCGCAACGAGCGCAACCCUUGUCGUUAAUUGCCAUCAUUUAGUUGGGCACUUUAACGAGACUGCCGGUGACAAACCGGAGGAAGGUGGGGAUGACGUCAAGUCCUCAUGGCCCUUAUGGGUAGGGCUUCACACGUCAUACAAUGGUCGGUACAGAGGGUUGCCAAGCCGCGAGGUGGAGCCAAUCCCAGAAAGCCGAUCGUAGUCCGGAUUGCAGGCUGCAACUCGCCUGCAUGAAGUCGGAAUCGCUAGUAAUCGCGGAUCAGCAUGUCGCGGUGAAUACGUUCCCGGGUCUUGUACACACCGCCCGUCACACCAUGGGAGCGGGUUCCGCCAGAAGUAGGUAGCCUAACCGCAAGGAGGGCGC